AUAAAUAGCUUUUACACCUGUAUAAAUAUAUAAGAGUAUGUGGUGUGGUUAUUAAUAUAAAGUCGUGGGAUAUAUAGUCAAAUGUAUGUAAUAUAUAUAUUAAAUACUUCGCCAUUUCCUUCUGAACACCUGUGACAUUUAAGAUCCUCAGAUCAAUGGGUUGCGUGUCUGAAUCUCAGUUCAGAGAUGUGCUUGGAAAGAUGCAUGCCGAAAUCGACGCCAGAGUGAUAAACUGAAAUCAGCAGAGAGAGCAGCUACUACCAUUAGGGAGAUCGAUGCACCACUACAUCAACAUGUUUAUCAUCUGCAGGAGUCAUUCCUGGCCCCAGAGUUUUUACAGUUGGUAAAAUACUGUAUUUCAAGUGAUGCAACCAUGAAAGGACUAAUGAAACUCAUCCAAACAGAGGCAGGGUUAAUAUCAGUUUCGUCAUAGUCCGACUCCAUCUCAAUCUUCACCUGGGGCACGGGGCAGGACAUCCCUCUGGUCAUCGGCAUCGCCGGAGAUGAUGGACAGGAGAUCUUCAGGUGCAGAGUGAUGCUGUGGAAUGGCAACUUCCAGUUACAAGAGUGAGGAGGAGAAAGAGGAGAGGGCUAUGAGAGGAAAGAGGAACAGCUAAGGAGCAGUCUGUAUUAAGAUGUUAGUUGCAGGUGACUGCAAGUGUUCCAGGGGAAAGAUCUGGGAUAAGGACACCCAAAGCAGGAGAAAGGGAAGAUGAUAGCGAGGAAUGUGGAUUUGAGGAUCCAGAGAAUAGCUAAGCACACAAUCUGCAGCAGUGUGAACAGGUGGACUCUUCUCAGCGGUACGUGACGCAGAUAUGGGAAAUCUGGCUGGUGUUUUGCUGGCAUCAUAAUCAGUUUGAUCCUGUCCCAGAACUAUAAAAGACAGGAUGUUUAAUUAGAUACGCAGUGGACAAAAAUGAAAAAUCUGUCAUUAUUUACUCACUCUAAUGUCAUUUCAAACCCAAGUGUCUCUUUCCAUCUAAUAAAAGUGCUUGAGGUCCAUCA